CAACCCACCUACAGCCCCUUCUGCUCUGCCCCAUCAACUACAUUUUCUCCCUCAGCACUCGCCUUAGAUUCCUGGACUCACAGCACAGAGGCGACCUCCUCCUUGCAGACUUUAGGCGCCACUGCGGGGUCCGGAAAAAAAAAAGAGAAACGGCCCAGCGCUGUCGCUUACAUAACCCAGGGCGGGGCUGCGCUCGGCGACCGCAAGCGUUUUGAAUUCUGCGCCCCAGAGUUCACUGCGAGGACUGGGAUCACCCGUCACCCCGCCCUGGUCUACGGAAAAUGACAAGUGUUUACUGAUACAGAAAUGGAAUAAGGGCGCUGUGGGCUGGGGUGGGCGGAGCUGCCUUCAGGCUUCUGGUCUCCAGCGGCGGGGAACUCACACCUGCCGCUGUGAAAAUGCAGACCCGCGAGGCAGGAAUUCCGAGUCCAGCCUGGGGCGCAAUCUGGAAUCUUGACUCGCUUGAAACACCGCGGCGGAUUCGGAGACAGGUGAGUAGGUAAAUGAGCCUCAGCCCCUCACACGGGCCGCCCACGGAUUCCAGGAUCCGGAAACUCUUCCUGCUGCUGCGUCACCCCAGGAAGGCAGCGCCCGCCUCUGGGCCUUUCUGAUGGAAACUGGCUCCGCCGCCCAGAGGAAAACCCACAACUAAGGGGCCAAGAAAAAGCCUCCAUGGUCCCGCCCUUUCAGUGAGGAUCCUAAUUUAUACCCCGAGUGUGGCCCCCAUCAAAGUCUGCAGUGACAGCCGAGCGCGGUGGCUCACGCCUGUAAUCCCGGCACUUUGGGAGACCAUGGCGGACGGAUCACUUGAGGUCAGGAGUUCGAGACCAGCUUGGCCAACAUGGUGAAGCCCCUUCUCUACUAAAAAUACAAAAAUUAGCCGGGUGUGGUGGUAGGCGCCUGUAGUCCCAGCUACUCGGAGGCUGAGGCAGAAGAAUGGCGUGAACCCGGGAGGCGGAGCUUGCAGGGAGCCGAGAUCGCGCCACUGCACUCCAGCCUGGGCGAGAGUGAGACUCCAGCUCACAAAAAAAAAAAAAAAAAAAGAAAAAAGAAAAAAAAAUGUAGAGUGACGUUCACUGAAAUACUAGACCAGCGGGAGGGACCCAGAGCGCUGUGGUUCACAGAAUGCGGUGACAGCGCCGCCUCGCGUCCUUUCCUUCACCUGCCCCAGGCAGACGUGAUCACGUGUGUUGGCCUGGAGGCUGGAAUACACUGGGGUCAAAAGCAGAGAGUGGAGAAGGAAGGGAAGGAUGGGAGGACGUGUUGAAGAAAGACAGAAAGAGCUGGCGCUAUGGUUCAUACCCAUAAAACUAGCGUUUUCGGAGGCGAGGCAGGAGGAUCGUGUGAGACCAGGAGUUUGAGGUUGCAGUGAGCCAUGGUCACACCACUGCACUCCAGCCUGGACGACAGAGUGAGACUCUGCUUUUAUAUACUUUUCAUAUUUUCUGUAAUUAAGCAAGUUUUGUGUCCGGAAUUGGUGGGUUCUUGAUCUCACUGACUUCAAGAAUGAAGCUGCGGACCCUCGCGGUGAGUGUUACAGCUUUUAAGGUGGCGCGUCUGGAGUUUGUUCCUUCUGAUGUUCGGAUGUGUCCGGAGUUUUUUCCUUCUGGUGGGUUCGUGGUCUCGCUGGCUCAGGAGUGAAGCUGCAGACCUUCACGGAAGCGAGGUAACUGACGGAUGGCCAAGGCAGCCCCUUAGGUGGCUUAGGUCUGCCCUGUGGAGCAUCCCUGCGGUGGACUCUGGCCAGCCUGAGUGACGCGAUCCAAAGAGCGCUCCCGGGUAGGAAAUUGCCCGGGUGGAAUGCCUCGCCAGAGCAGCACGUAGCAGGCCCCCGAGGAGGAUUAAUACACUGGCUGAACACUGGGAAGGAACUGGCACUUGGAGUCCGGACAUCUGAAACUUGGUAAGACUAGUCUUUGGAACUUGCCCCACUCCAUCUGAGUGGAAGCAUGGCCUGAUCACCCAUGGUGUGCCUGUACUGGCACUUUUGUUCUGGUUUUGACUUGACUUAGAUUGUGUGAUACUUUGGUUUUGGUUUUGGUUUUGACCUGGCUUGGGUUUCUGGAUACUCUGAUUUUGGUUUGGUGUAAACUGCAAAAGUGUGUGUGCCCUUUUUACCUGUUUUUUUGUUUUGUAGUGUGCGUGUGGUGUGAGCGUGGUGUUUUGUCUCGAAGAAGCAUGGGUCAGGCACAAAUAAGCCCACCCCACUAGGAACUAUGUUAAAAAAAAUUUUUUUUCAGAAAGAAUUUAAGGGAGAUUACGAUGUUACUGUGACACCAGGAAAACUUAGAACUUGUGAAAUAGACUGGCCAGCAUUAGAGGUGGGUUGGCCAUCAGAAGGAAGCCUGGACAGGUCCCUUGUUUCAAAGGUAUGGCACAAAGUAACCUGUAAGCCAAGGCACCCAGACCAGUAUCUGUACAUAGACAGUUACAGCUGGUUUUAGACCCCCUUCCCUCCACAGUAGUUAAGAGAACAGCAGCAUAAGCGGCUGGCAGAGGCAAGGAAAGACCAGCAGAGAGAAAAAAAGGCCAUCUAUACCAAUUCUAAGUUAAUUUAGACUAAACAAGGUCUUAUUAAUAGCAAAGGAUAAUUGAAAUCCCAAACUUACAAGGUGUUCAACAAAAGUGAAGUUUGCUAAAAAUUAACAGUAUAACAUGUAUUAUGGUAACUUCUAAUCUUGUGGCCUUAGACAGUCUAGUCCAAAGACAAAAAAAAAGUUCACUUUAAAAAAAAAAGCGGGGGAGGCAGAAUUUAUGUAAAAAGAGUGUUAUAUGGUAAAUUCUUGUCCUGAAAUAAAUUAACUGGUUGUUUAAAGAAAAAAAAAUGUUUGUAAUAAGUCAGAAAGUUGAGACAUGUUGAAGAAUUGUUGGCGAAAGUCGUGAAAGAAAAAAUGUUAUAAAAAAAGUAUGCAAAAAAUAUUGUAUAAUUUAAAAGUAAUAAGGCCUCCUGAGUACUAUUAAAAAAAAACAGUUUAUGUGCAAGGUGUAUAAGAAAAGUAAAAUAUACCUUUGGUAAAAAGAUUAUAAGGAGGCAUAAGAAUGUGGAUUUUUACCUACAUUAAAAGGUUAAAAAAAUUAUUGUUUUGAAAGUGUAAGCAAAUUUUAAAAUGUUAAUCGUAAAGAAAAUUCUGUGUGUAAACAUAUUAGCUAAAGUUAAAAAGGUAUCAUCCAGUUUUUCUGUGAACUGGACAUUAAAGUAAAAAUGUGACAGGUUUUUCUUAAAGCAUCAACCUGCUCUUUAACAAAAAUUAUAAAAGGUUAAAAAGAGUCUAUAAAACCUUACCUUAUGGUCAAACAUGAAAAAUUGGAUAAAUAUGUCUACAAAGUUUUAUUAAAAUUAAGUUUAACAUUAAUAACACACUAAUAUAAAGGUAAAAUUUAGCUUAUCUUGUAUAAAAACCAUACAAGAAGCAUUAUUAAAUAUAAAAUGGUGUUUAGCUUUCUUUGGUCUAAAAACUAAUAAAAAUUGGUGCUGAAGGAAACAUUCAUUUUACUAGAGGAUCAUAGAAGUUAAAGACUUAAAACAAACUUUGGCAGUUAAGACAGCAUACCAAGAUGCAAAUGCCUGGUUGGAAUGGAUCAUAUAUUCCAUCUGCACGUUAAACAAAAGCAAUUGUUAUGCUUGUGCACAUGGCAGGCCAGAGGUCCUGAUUGUCCCUCUUCCACUAAGGUGGUCCUCCAGUCAACCAGGUGUGGGCUGCAUGGUAGCUCUUUUCCAGGAUUCUACAGCCUGGAGUAAUAAGUCAUGCCAAGCUAUCUCUGCUAUAUCCCGAAGUCUCUGCGGGUCAGCCCCCGAGGGCCAUCCAGCUUCCGUCUCCCAACACUAAGUUCACUUCUUGUCUCUCACGGCAGGGAGGAGAUUUAGCAUUCCUUGGAGACCUGAAGGGAUGCAGUGAGCUUAAGAGUUUCCAAGAGCUUAUCAAUCAGUCAGCCCUUGUUCAUCCCCGAGAGGAUGUGUGGUGGUAUCGGGGUGGACCUUUACUGGGCACUCUGCUGAAUAACUAGAGUGGCACUUGUGCUUUAGUCCAUUUGGCUAUCCCUUUCACCCUGGCAUUUCGUCAACCAGAGGAAAAAAAGAGUAAGACAUCAUAAAACGAGAGAAGCCCCUUAUAGGUCUUUCAACUCUCACAUCUAUUUAAAUGCAAUUGGAGCCCCGCAAGGAAUACCAGAUCAAUUUAAAGCUUGAAAUCAAAUAGUUACAGGAUUUAAGUCAAUAUUUUAGUAGAUGACAGUCAAUAAAAAUGUAGAUCAGAUAAACUACAUCUAUUACAACCAACAGCAAAGAGCUUUUCAUGAGUUAAAAAGAAAAACUCAUGUCGGCCCCAGCCCUGAGGCUACCUGACCUGACAAAACUCUUUACACUCUGUGUGUCAGAAAGAGAAAAAAUGGCAGUUGGAGUUUUAACCCAGACUGUAGGGCCCUGGUCAAGGCCAGUGGCCCAUCUCUCAAAACAACUAGACGGGGUUUCCAAAGGCUGGCCCCCAUGUCCAAGGGCCCUGGCAGCAACUGCCCUGUUAGCACAAGAAGCAGAUAAGCUAACUCUUAGGCAAAACCUAAACAUAAAGUCCUCCCAUGCUGUGGUGACUUUAAUAAAUACCAAAGGACAUCAUUAGCUAAUAAAUGCUAGACUAACUAGAUACCAAAGCUUGCUCUGUGAAAAUCCCCACAUAACCAUUGAAGUUUCCAACACCCUAACCCAGCCACCUUACUCCUGGUAUCAGAGAGCCCAGUUAAACAUAACUGUUUAGAGGUGCUGGACUCAGUUUAUUCUAGUAGGCCUAACCUCCGAGACCACCCUUAAACAUCAGUAGACUGGGAGCUGUACGUGGAUGGGAGCAGCUUUGCCAACCCCUGCAAAGUGACUCUGAAGAAGGAGACAAGCCCUGCUCCAGUCACACCCGGAAGCUGACUGGUCCACGCACGGCCGAAGCAUGAGGAAACUCAUUGCGGGACUCAUUUUCCUUAAAAUUUGGACUUGUACAGUAAGGACUUCAACUGACCUUCCUCAGACUGAGAACUGUUUCCAGUAUAUACAUCAAGUCACUGAGGUAGGACAAAAGAUUGCUACAGUCCUAUUAUUUUAUGGUUGUUAUAAGUGUGCCAGGACUCUAAAAGAAACUUGUUUGUAUAAUGCUAUCCAAGGUAUGUAGCCCAGGGAAUAACCAACCUGAUGUGUGUUAUGACCCAGUUUAAGUCUCCCGUGAUCACAGUUUUUAAAAUAAAAUUAAGGACUGGUCCUUUUCUAGGUGACACAAGUAAGGUAAUAGCUAGAACAGAAAAAAGAGGGGCCCCCAAAAAUGUAACCUUAAAAUUUGGUGCUUGUGCCGCUAUUGAUAGUAAGCAGCAUGGAAUAGGAUGCGGUUCUCUAAAUUGGAAAAAAAAAGUUACACAGUAAAAAAAAAUAAGUGUAUCUGUCAAGAAUCGUAUUUAUGUGAGAUGUGUCAAUACUGGUCUUGUGUCAUUUGGGCUACUUAAAAAGAAGAUAAAAAAGAUCCUGUUUGGCGGCUUAGUUGUCUUGGGCAAAAACUGUAUAAUGGUACCACAAAAACAGUUACAUGGUGGAGUUCCAAUUACACAGAAAGAAAUCCAUUCAGUAAAUUUCCAAAGUUGCAGACUGUUUGGGCCCACACAGAACUCCACCGGGACUGGAGAGCCCCCACCGGGUUAUACACAGAGCUUAUGCUAAGCUGCCUGAUCAGUGGACAGGUAGCUGUGUAACUGGCACCGUUAAACCAUCUUUCUUCUUACUGCCAAUAAAAACAGGUAAACUUC